rnacentral:misc_RNA from 1 species
UGAAAAUAGGAUUUGAGGAGUAGUAGCAUUUUGAAAUCUACAGCGACCCUUUGUUGAUGAGAGUUAGGGGCUUUUCGAUUUGUGAAGGCGUGCCUCAGAUAUUUCAAUUAAUUCAAUGAAUGAGUGGAAUUCUAAUUCAAUUAGAGUGGUACCGCGGGUAAAUCUCGUCUCUAGU